rnacentral:rRNA from 1 species
GACGAACGCUGGCGGCGUGCCUAAUACAUGCAAGUAGAACGCACAGUUUAUACCGUAGCUUGCUACACCAUAAACUGUGAGUUGUGAACGGGUGAGUAACGCGCAGGUAACCUGCCUGGUAGCGGGGGAUAACUAUUGGAAACGAUAGCUAAUACCGCAUAAUAUUGAUUAUUGCAUGAUAAUUUAUUUAAAGAUGCUAUUGCAUCACUACCAGCUGGACCUGCGUUGUAUUAGCUAGUAGGUGAGGUAACGGCUCACCUAGGCGACGAUACAUAGCCGACCUGAGAGGGUGAUCGGCCACACUGGGACUGAGACACGGCCCAGACUCCUACGGGAGGCAGCAGUAGGGAAUCUUCGGCAAUGGACGAAAGUCUGACCGAGCAACGCCGCGUGAGUGAAGAAGGUUUUCGGAUCGUAAAGCUCUGUUGUAAGAGAAGAACGGGUGUGAGAGUGGAAAGUUCACACUGUGACGGUAUCUUACCAGAAAGGGACGGCUAACUACGUG